ACAGAGGGUGCGAGCGUUGUUCGGAAUUAUUGGGCGUAAAGGGCGCGUAGGCGGCCUCGUAAGUCAGAUGUGAAAUCCCUGGGCUUAACCCAGGACGUGCAUCUGAUACUGCUUGGCUUGAGUCCCGGAGAGGGUGGUGGAAUUCCCAGUGUAGAGGUGAAAUUCGUAGAUAUUGGGAGGAACACCGGUGGCGAAGGCGACCACCUGGACGGAGACUGACGCUGAGGCGCGAAAGCGUGGGGAGCAAACAGGA
rnacentral:rRNA from 1 species